GCUCGCCUAUCGCAGGAAGAAUGUUUGCUGCGCAGGGUACACUGAAGAUGGUGAUACAUAGGCCACGUGACUGUCGCAAGUCAUCUUAUGAGUCAAUCUAUCUGUCCAGACAACUGACUGCUGGACGCUGCGUUACAGUCACAUAACAGCGAUGUAUACGCAGGUUGUAAAUAAAUACAGCUUGACAAACAAUGACUUCGUGAGUUAAUAUAAACCUGCUCCUGAAGAUGUCCGUUAAGCUUUGUACCAUCAUCUAAUCAGAUACAAUAUUUGACUAAAGGUAAAGAACUCAAUAGUCGAUAAAUGUAAGUCGGUUUGUUUCGUCUGUGAUGCUUCGGUUUCUCAAAUUACAUUUCAAAAAUAUUUGAUGUAGUUAGUUUAAUGGCUUCAGUGUCUUUUGUCACUAAAAGUAUUACUCGAGGACAAAGAGUGACAAUUGUUUGAUGGAAUCUAAAGGUGCGUCUAGCGGCUAACGGUCACACAGGUGAGCACUGAUUACAGGUACAAAGACCGACACUACAGCCCAGUGCUUCAUACACUGUGUGAGGUGCAGAGUACUCAGGGCAGCAUCUAUCGAGACUACCAGAAACACCAACCAUUCAAGGUGGUCUUUAAUUCAGUGGAGGUGCUGGACCAUCCCCACCCCACCUACCACCCUAGCUGGACUCACCCACCUGAUGGUCU